AUUGAACGCUGGCGGCAUGCUUUACACAUGCAAGUCGGGCGAGUGGCGGACGGGUGAGUAAUAUAUUGGGAUGUGCCCAGUAGUGGGGGAUAACCAAUCGAAAUGGUGGCUAAUACCGCAUACUAUCCGAUGGACCAAUAUGGGAUUAGCUAGUGGGUGGGGUAAAGGCUUACCUAGGCGACGAUCCCUAGCUGGUCUGAGAGGAUGAUCAGCAACACUGGGACUGAGACACGGCCCAGACUCCUACGGGAGGCAGCAGUGGGGAAUAUUGCACAAUGGGCGCAAGCCUGAUGCAGCCAUGCCGCGUGUAUGAAGAAGGCCUUAGGGUUGUAAAGGACUUUCAGUGGGGAGGCGGUACCUGAAGAAGAAGCACCGGCUAACUACGUGCCAGCAGCCGCGGUAAUUC
rnacentral:rRNA from 1 species